AAUAAAAGCGAGCGAUUUGCAAAAUCGAAAAAGAAGCAAAAACCGAUCGACAACGUUGUGUUCGAUAACAAUUAUUCAUUUUCCGAGCUCUGCGAUGGAGAUUUGUGUGAAAAUAACUCACGAAAAAACUAUUCGCAUAUGCUAAAUGGCGUGAAAAGAGUAAGCAGAAGUGGGUGGGGGAUGGAAGAAGAUUGAUUGACUCGUUGAGCUGGAGAUUUGCUAAACAAAUUACAGUAUGGACAGUUUUGUAAUCUGUGUCCCAUUCCUUUGACAAUAUAUAACUUUGUUGGCGAACAACAAAAUGGCCUCAGUGGUUAUUUGUACGUUGUUUGUGAAAAACCUGACUGUAGAGAAGUCAAUCGUGUUGCUUAUGGAAAGCAGCACCAUCUCAAGAUCAGGGGAAUGCCAUGCUUUGACGUAAAUACCAAGCUUGGAACAGCAAUGAAAGUCAGUUUGGGCAGGCCGGUGAAGUUAAAUUACUUCCUAACCACUCUAAACAUAACGCUUAUUGCAAAUAGAAAUCUAAAGAAGAUGGAGGCUCGUGCUGGGGAGGCCAUCAAGAAAAUCUCAACUGCGUCGUCUAACAAGGCUGCCAUUGAUGCUUAUGAGAAAGAAAUGGAUUCGAGGUACAGUAAUGCAUGAUAUUACUCAGAUUGCUGCUGUGCAUUUGAAGACGGGUUUUAAAUUCUCGACAUAUGUGAAGACAACAGUGCCAAUUUCUUCUGAAGCUCAGAAAGUGGCAUCUCUGUUGAUGAUCAUGGCAUAAUGCGUGUAAAUGGUGGAAGUGUUGAUAGUGUAUCAAUUAAAACUUCUCUACAUGAUUGUAUGUUGUGGCUUGCAAAGUUUCCCAGAGCCAUUUUUGUUGCUCAUAAUGGGCGCAGGUUUGAUUUUCCGGUUUUGGUUAUUGCAUUGCUGAACACACACUGUUUUGAAACGUUUUGUAAUUGUGUAAGCAGUUUUGUUGACUCUUUGCCGGCUUUCAAAAAUCGUAUCCUGGACAGUCACACAAAUAGGAAGAUCUAGUGAACGUGUUCUCCAGGCAACCUGCAACGCCCACAGUGCUCCUGGUGAUGUUGAAGCACUGGCUUCUUUGCUUAAAACGUGUAAAAUUUCUGACAAUAUGGCCCACAUCUUUACUGUUACUUCAAUCCAUAAUUCAGUGUGUUUAAGUCAUGAAAAGCCUUAAAAGCAAAGAACAUUAGAUUGUUAGACGUGCUGUUGCAUAGAGGAACUCUAAAGAGACCAACAGCUGAAAACAUUGCGGGAUAUGGACUGGCCUUGUGUCAUUUGAAAGCCAUAUUUUCUAGUUCCGGAGAGGAUAACUUUAGGGAUAUUUUCAUUGCUAAAAACAAUGAGGGACUACCAAAAGUCACAAACGCAAAAAAUAUAUUAUCUGAAGUGGUCCUUAAAAUCGAUCAGUUUUUCAGUGACGAAAAGUGACAGAACAGUAUAAUAUGGCUUUCAAAUGACACGCGGCCAAUCAAAUUCACCCAAUGGCUUUAUACUGAUACUAAAUUAUGUACAUCUAGUUGUAAUUAAUCUGGCUGUUUUUAUUACAAUAUAAGUUGUAUAUUAGUGUGCUACAUUUUUAAAGAAACAUGAUAACUUAUACAUCUUUAUGCUACGUAAUAUUGGGACAACUUUGACAUUUUGUGGUGAACUGCGCCUGUAUACAUAUGUUGCCGUUUGACUUUAGGUGACCUUAAGAUUGUAUUAUUAAUGUAUUAUUAUUUCAAUAUUAAUUCAAAGUUAGCUAAAUUUCUUCACAUGUCAUGGUUUAUAACUGUAGCUUUUAAUAAGCAACUAUAAAACCCCCAAAAAGAAGUGAUAUGCACAUUUAUACUUAACUUCAUUGCGUGAAAAUGAAUUGGGGCAGGCAUACUCAAAGUACAAUUUCUUGAGAUAAGAACGGUAAAACUUCC